UACGUAGGGUGCGAGCGUUAAUCGGAAUUACUGGGCGUAAAGCGUGCGCAGGCGGUUUUGUAAGCCAGAUGUGAAAUCCCCGGGCUUAACCUGGGAAUGGCAUUUGGGACUGCAAGGCUAGAGUGUGGCAGAGGAGACUGGAAUUCCUGGUGUAGCAGUGAAAUGCGUAGAUAUCAGGAGGAAUACCGAUGGCGAAGGCAGGUCUCUGGGUUAACACUGACGCUCAUGCACGAAAGCGUGGGGAGCAAACAGG
rnacentral:rRNA from 1 species